UACAGAGGAGCCAAGCGUUGUCCGGAUUGACUGGGCGUAAAGCGCACGCAGGCGGUUGCGCGCGUGGGGUGUGAAAUCUGGCCGCUUAACGGCCAGGCGCCAUCCCAUACGGCGCAACUGGAGUGAUGCAGAGGUCGAUGGAAUUGCCGGUGUAGUGGUGAAAUGCGUAGAGAUCGGCAGGAACACCCAGGGGGGAAACCAGUCGACUGGGCAUCUACUGACGCUGAGGUGCGAGAGCGUGGGGGAGCGAACCGG
rnacentral:rRNA from 1 species